rnacentral:rRNA from 1 species
GACAGAGGGUGCAAACGUUGUUCGGAAUUACUGGGCGUAAAGCGCGUGUAGGCGGUUAUGCAAGUCGGGUGUGAAAGCCCAGGGCUCAACCCUGGAAGUGCAUUCGAUACUGCGUAGCUAGAGUACUGGAGAGGAUGGUGGAACUCUGGGUGUAGAGGUGAAAUUCGUAGAUAUCCAGAAGAACACCGGUGGCGAAGGCGGCCAUCUGGACAGAUACUGACGCUGGAGACGCGGAAAGCGUGGGGAGCAAACACGGAU